GUGGAUUAGAUACCCUGGUAGUCCAUGCCGUAAACGUUGGGCACUAGGUGUGGGUCUCAACCAACGAGAUCCGCGCCGUCGCUAACGCAUUAAGUGCCCCGCCUGGGGAGUACGGUCGCAAGACUAAAACUCAAAGGAAUUGACGGGGGCCCGCACAAGCAGCGGAGCGUGUUGCUUAAUUCGAUGCAACGCGAAGAACCUUACCUGGGUUUGACAUGUACCGAAAAGCUCUAGAGAUAGGGUGUCCUUCGGGGCGGUACACAGGUGGUGCACGGCCGUCGACAACU
rnacentral:rRNA from 1 species